rnacentral:rRNA from 1 species
GACGUAGGGCGCGAGCGUUGUCCGGAUUGACUGGGCGUAAAGGGCGCGUAGGCGGUUUGUACAGUCAGACGUGAAAUUCCUGGGCUCAACCUGGGGGCUGCGUUUGAUACGUAUGGACUUGAGUUCGGAAGAGGGUCGUGGAAUUCCCAGUGUAGAGGUGAAAUUCGUAGAUAUUGGGAAGAACACCGGUGGCGAAGGCGGCGACCUGGUCCGAUACUGACGCUGAGGCGCGAAAGCGUGGGGAGCAAACAGG